AGGAGUUGUGUAUUAGUACUACACCCAAGAGUAGCAAAUUCCAAGUUUCUUGCAGGUACAGCAAUGAUUAAAAAAAAUUCUGUGACAUUUUAUGCUGCUCUUCAAAAUGAAGGGGAGAGGAAUAAUCUGAAGAGGAAUGAUUUAAAAGAAGCUCAGUGACUGAGCAGUAACUAACUGUUAACAGGAACCAAAAUGAAGAAAGGAGAUUAAUAUCUGAAGAUUUCUCUUCUUUAUUGUCAGAAAGCUUCCACCUUCAAAAUCAGGCAUUUCUUAUUUUUUAAAAGACAACAAGAAUUCAUUCAUAUCGUUUUUUUCAGAAACAAGCAAAGUAAUAGAUGUUGCAUGAAGUCUGCCAGAGUCCAGCACCCCUGUUGCAUAAGGGUUGAGGAGACUGAUCUGGAAUCCCAGUUGACAACACGAAGAUGAACUCUCAGGGCUUGGGGUCUUGGCCAUACAUCACACAGAUCUAUUUUUCUCACGAGUUGAUGUUGUUUGACCAAAGCAAAAAGAAUAGCAUGUCAGUGUGCUUGCACUGCAUUUUCACGUAAGUACAUGGAAUAUUCAAGUCGUGGAUUUCUUUCAUGAUCCUUCUAAAUAAUUUGACUUCUCCCCAUUUGUUUAAUCAAAUCCACAAAACCAACAACAAAUCUCUUGGUUAUUUAUUUCUCCUUAUCAUCGAGCAUGCAUCACUAGAAACUUCCAGGUCUCAUGCAAACAUGUAUAAACCCAAAAAAUGUUCUGGGUGAGAACAC